AUUGUUUUAUUCUUCAUCUAGGAUGGUGCACUCCAGGACAAAGUCAGCCAAUGCUUGAGCUUUGAUGGAUGGUCGAGGUAAAUAUUUGAUGUCAAAUUCUCCUAACUCAAUGGUCCACUUAGCUAGUCAUCUUAAAGUGUUGGGUUGAUAAAGUAUUGAUCUAGUGCGUUGGUCGGUGAGGAAGGCUUCUGCACCUUGGCCUCUUAUCGGACAAGAACUGAGCUGAUCGUCGAGGGUGAAAUGAUGAGGUACAAAUAUAGCACUUCUCUAGAUUCAGGCUUGCUGAGCAGG
rnacentral:lncRNA from 1 species